GGUCCACAUAAUGAGUUCCAGGUCAGCCAGGGCUCUGUAGAGAGACCCCGUUUCAAAAAUAAAUUAUAAGAGGAAUGGAUUAAAAGUUCUCCUUCACCCCAUGGAUCAUCGAGGACCAUAAAGUCGGGCAGGAACCUGUAGAAUUAGUGCUGCCUUGUGUGGAGAAGUAGGUCAUUAACAGAGGGAGUGGGCCAACAUGGAUGCUAUCAGCCAAUCCCCUGUGGAUGUCCUACUGCCCAAGCAUAUCCUGGAUAUCUGGGCCAUUGUCCUCAUCAUCCUGGCUACCGUCGUCAUCAUGACCUCCUUGUUCCUGUGCCCGGCCACGGCAGUCAUCAUCUAUCGAAUGCGGACUCAUCCAGUUCUCAACGGGGCCGUCUGAGACCCUUGCCAGCGGGAUGGCGAGUGUUAAGGGCAGGGGUCUCCCCACUAGCCCGUUCUCAGAAAGACAGUGGGGAGACCCGGGAGCUGGAUUCGUGCUUUAGUUUUCAUUCUGCUGUUGGCCAACAGUGUAGACCCAAGAAGGGACCUAACUCUGUGAGUCCCAAGCUCCUUAGCUUUCAGCUAUGGGUCAUGACCCCUGCCUUCCUACCUCACAGGGUUGUGAGAACCACGUGACAGUGGAGGUAAAAGCUAUUUGAGAGCAGUGAAGCCACUCAGACGUUGUGUGAGGAGAAGCUCUGCAGAACCAAAGACCCCUGAAGCUGCUGACGGGACAGGAGGUGACGGAGACUGGGAAAGAGGAACUUCAGCCCGUGUCCCGUUUGCCAUCUUCAGCAAAUCAGACUUUUUUUUUUUUAAAGUGACAUUCCUUCCAUUUUUCUCAGUUUGGGAGAAAGCUAGUAUGGCAGGGGAGAGAGAUAAGCAUAAGUUCAGAAACGUCUCCGCUAAUUCCUGCUC
rnacentral:lncRNA from 1 species